rnacentral:rRNA from 1 species
AUCUAUGGCCAUGCUACCCUGAACAAGACUGAUCCCAUCUGAUCUCGGAAGCUAAGCAGGGUCGGGCUUGGUUAAUAGUUGGAUGGGAGACCACCUAGGAAGACUAGGUGCUGUAGGCA